GGCAGGUCCUGGGGAGACUCCAGGUUGGCGGGUCCUGGGGCGGGGCCAGGAUAAGGCGAUCCUGGGAGCGGGGCUUCGGAAGCGUCCAGAUAGGGUCUCUCUCUCUGCCACCCAGGCCAGAGUGUAGUUGAUGCAGGGCAGCGGAGCCCCGAAGUGGAGCAUCGUGUGUCCGGAACUGGUGGGUUCUUGGUCUCACUGACUUCAAGAAUGAAGCCGCAGACCCUUGUGCCAUGUUCUGUCACCCAGGCGGGAGUGCAAUGGUGUGAUCUCAGCUUGCUGCAACCUCUGCCUUCUGGAUUAAAGCAAUUCUGCUGCCUCAGCCUCCCAGGUAGCUGGGAUUACUGGUGCACGCCACCAUGCCUGGCUAAUUUUUUGUAUUUUUAAUAGAGACAGGGUUUCACCAUGUUGGCCAGGCUGGUCUUGAACUCCUGACCUCGUGAUCUGCCUGCUUGGCCUCCCAAAGUCCUGGGAUUACAGGCAUGAGCCACCGUACCCAGCCACUCUUGGUUAACUUAAUGGAAAUAUUUACAGAGAUUCUUUCUCUUCUGGGUUCUAGCGUCUUAUCUGUACCCUCUGCAGGUACUCCUGAACUUGGUGAAAUACCUCAGCCAUCAAUCAUGUUAAAUUAUCGGGGACACUCAUUUAAAAUCCGAGCCUGCUCCAGAUGGACUCUCUCUUUCUGCCCUGACCGUGACAGAAGCCCUGCUGGAAGGUGGAGACGUUCGUGGGCUGUGAGCAAGGGAUGGAAAGGCUGCCGGGAAUCCCGUCUUUCCAUCAUCAUCUGCCAAAGCACAUCAGUUCCUCGGUAUCUUGAUGGGUUCUGGCAGCAUUACUGUCAUUGAAGGAAAACAUUUUAGCCAUAUUAAAGGUUAAUGCAGCAAACUCCACACAGUCUGCCUGGAAGGGACGCGGGACAAGGGUAGGCUUUCCCUGUGAUGGACAGGAGGCAGGCGGCCCUCCCACAGCCCUGCCUGACAAUGCAGAUGUGUCCCCAAAAGGCACUGUGGGCCACCUGGAGAGCUGUGCCGAGGCAGGCUGACCCGGGCCGUGGGUUCACUCUGAUUGCAGUGGUUUCCCACCAGCUCCUUGGAGAGCUGGCAGAUGGCCCAGCCCCACAGCAGGAGCCUCGAAUGGCAGAACGAGAUACAACAAUUUGAUAUCCACUUGCCAGACGAGCCGGGUGUCGUCAGUCGCCUGGCUCUGCGCCCAACCUCUUUUUGAAUAAACACUUAUGAAUUCAGCCAAGAGGAAAAGUACUCUGAUUAUGAAUUGAGCAGAAGGAAACAAAGUUCUGAAGAUAAACACCAAUGAGACAAAAAACCACGAAUAAGAAAAAUGAUGGAAAAGGAGAACCUUCCCAGAAGCCUCCUGCCAGUGAACGGCCACCAUAGCAAGAGCAUGGAGGCCCUGGGUUUUGAACUGUGAGAUAAGGAAGACGAUGAAAACCUCCCUAGCACCCAGGCAAGCACAAGAUUCCUGUGAAAUCCGGUCUAAGUGUUUUGACCACAGAAGUAAUAUUAUGUCAUAGGUGAGAGCUGUGAGUUGCUGAACCCAAAGUGAGUUCAAAUCCGAGCUCUGUCUCCUGCUACCUGUGUGACUUUGAGAAAUUCCAGCACUGCUUUGUGCCUCAGUUUUCUCAUCUGUUAAAUGGGCAUAAUCACAGCUCCUGCCUCAGAGUUGCUGUAAAUUAAUACAUGUAAAGCACUGAAA